GGAGUGGAGGCUCCUUAAGUGGCUCAGAGGCACCUGUACCAUGAUGUGAUGCUGGAGAACUUUGUUUUUUUGGUACCUGGGAUCAAACUCAGGACCUUGCACUUGCAAGGCAGGUGCAGGUGGUGGAACCACUGAGCUAAAUGCCUGGUGAUGCCCGAGAACUUUGAGCUCAUUAUCUCACUGGAUUCCCUGUGGUUGAUGUGGAUCCUGGGACUGCCUUGUGUAAGACCGAGGGCCUUACCAAACCCUCCGAGGAGCUGACUGCAGUGAAGAACACCUGGGAAGGAACACACCGGACAAGUUGGAGAGGAUCAAACUCAGGACUUGUGCUUGAGAGGCAGG
rnacentral:lncRNA from 1 species